rnacentral:rRNA from 1 species
UACAGAGGUCUCAAGCGUUGUUCGGAUUCAUUGGGCGUAAAGGGUGUGUAGGUGGCGCCGUAAGUCGGGUGUGAAAUCUCGGGGCUUAACUCCGAAACUGCAUUCGAUACUGCGGUGCUUGAGGACUGGAGAGGAGACUGGAAUUCAUGGUGUAGCAGUGAAAUGCGUAGAUAUCAGGAGGAACACCGGUGGCGAAGGCGGGUCUCUGGGCCGAAAUUGACGCUGAGGAGCGAAAGCGUGGGGAGCAAACAGG